AUUGAACGCUGGCGGCAGGCCUAACACAUGCAAGUCGAGCGAGAAAGCACUUCGGUGUGAGUACAGCGGCGGACGGGUGAGUAACGCGUAGGAAUCUACCAAGUAGUGGGGGACAACAUGUGGAAACGCAUGCUAAUACCGCAUACGCCCUACGGGGGAAAGGAGGCUUAGGCUUUCGCUAUUUGAUGAGCCUGCGUAAGAUUAGCUAGUUGGUGAGGUAAUGGCUCACCAAGGCGACGAUCUUUAGCUGGUCUGAGAGGAUGAUCAGCCACACUGGAACUGAGACACGGUCCAG
rnacentral:rRNA from 1 species